AUUGAACGCUAGCGGCAUGCCUUACACAUGCAAGUCGAACGGCAUCGCGGGAAAGCUUGCUUUCCUGGCGGCGAGUGGCGAACGGGUGAGUAACACAUCGGAACGUACCGGCUAGUGGGGGAUAACCCGUCGAAAGACGGGCUAAUACCGCAUACGCUCUUCGGAGGAAAGCAGGGGACCUUUGGGCCUUGCGCUAGCCGAGCGGCCGAUGUCCGAUUAGCUAGUUGGUGGGGUAAAGGCCUACCAAGGCGACGAUCGGUAGCGGGUCUGAGAGGACGAUCCGCCACACUGGGACUGAGACACGGCCCAGACUCCUACGGGAGGCAGCAGUGGGGAAUCUUGGACAAUGGGGGCAACCCUGAUCCAGCAAUGCCGCGUGGGUGAAGAAGGCCUUCGGGUUGUAAAGCCCUUUCGGCAGGGAAGAAAUCGGCGGGGCGAAUAACCCUGCUGGAUGACGGUACCUGCAGAAGAAGCACCGGCUAACUACGUG
rnacentral:rRNA from 1 species